AAAAUCCGUCAACUUUAGAAAUCG
rnacentral:tRNA from 1 species